UGGGGAAUAUUGCACAAUGGGGGAAAGCCCUGAUGCAGCAACGCCGCGUGAAGGAAGACGGUUUUCGGAUUGUAAACUUCUGUUCUUAGUGAAGAAUAAUGACGGUAGCUAAGGAGCAAGCCACGGCUAACUACGUGCCAGCAGCCGCGGUAAUACGUAGGUGGCAAGCGUUGUCCGGAAUUACUGGGUGUAAAGGGAGCGCAGGCGGGAGACCAAGUCAGCUGUGAAAACUACGGGCUUAACCUGUAGACUGCAGUUGAAACUGGUUUUCUUGAGUGAAGUAGAGGUUGGCGGAAUUCCGAGUGUAGCGGUGAAAUGCGUAGAUAUUCGGAGGAACACCGGUGGCGAAGGCGGCCAACUGGGCUUUAACUGACGCUGAGGCUCGAAAGUGUGGGAGCAAACAGGAUUAGAUACC
rnacentral:rRNA from 1 species